rnacentral:tRNA from 1 species
GGGCGAAUAGCUCAGUUGGCUAGAGCGCCACGUUUACACCGUGGAAGUCGGGGGUUAGAGUCCCUCUUCGCCCACCA